rnacentral:tRNA from 1 species
GCGGGUAUAGUACAGUGGUUAGUAUGCGAGUUUUCCAAACUCGAGAUGAGAGUUCGAUUCUCUCUACCCGCACCA